AUGAACGCUGGCGGCGUGCCUAAUACAUGCAAGUCGAGCGAACAGAUAAGGAGCUUGCUCCUUUGACGUUAGCGGCGGACGGGUGAGUAACACGUGGGUAACUUACCUAUAAGACUGGAAUAACUCCGGGAAACCGGGGCUAAUGCCGGAUAACAUGUUGAACCGCAUGGUUCUACAGUGAAAGGCGGCUUUGCUGUCACUUAUAGAUGGACCCGCGCCGUAUUAGCUAGUUGGUGAGGUAACGGCUCACCAAGGCAACGAUACGUAGCCGACCUGAGAGGGUGAUCGGCCACACUGGAACUGAGACACGGUCCAGACUCCUACGGGAGGCAGCAGUAGGGAAUCUUCCGCAAUGGGUGAAAGCCUGACGGAGCAACGCCGCGUGAGUGAUGAAGGUCUUCGGAUCGUAAAACUCUGUUAUUAGGGAAGAACAAAUGCGUAAGUAACUGUGCGCGUCUUGACGGUACCUAAUCAGAAAGCCACGGCUAACUACGUG
rnacentral:rRNA from 1 species